rnacentral:snRNA from 2 species
ACAGCUUCUGGGCCUUUUGGCUAAGAUCAAGUCGAGUAUCUGUUAUCAGUUUAACAUCUGAUACUUGAAGUGGUGUUGUCAUCUCACACCGAGGAAAUCAAA